GUUAAAGCAUUGGUUCUCAUCUGAUCACUGUUGUUAAGCAUAGUUGAGCCUGAUCAGUACUUAGAUGGAUGACCACUUGGAAAUACCAGGUUCUGUAAG